rnacentral:lncRNA from 10 species
CAAUGUUGUCUUCCAGAAUUUUUAUAGUUUCAGGUCUUAGGUUUAAGUCUUUAAUCCAUCUUGAGUUGAGUUUUGUAUAAGGUGAGAGAUGUGGAUCCAGUUUCAUUCUCCUACAUGUGGCUAGCCAAUUAUCCCAGCACCACUUGUGGAAAAGAGUGCCUUUUCCCCACUUUGUGUUUUUGUUUGCUUUGCUGAAGAUCAAUUGGCUGUGCCUCCUCGGUUGCAAGAAUUGAAGAAAGCUCUACUUCCCAGAUGCAAGACCAUGCCGCGAGGCUUAUCCAGUACUCCAGUUUCAGACAUGAGAGCAAAUCUACCCAGGACUAGAAGCCAUCAUCCUGAGGUCACAUCUCUGCCUCCUCACCCUCUCUGAUGUGAAAUUAAACUUAACUAUUGUCCAGAUCCCAGUUCAAGUUUCUUUUAUCGCAGAACCUUAGUUUUCUAUCUCCUCGGGGGAGAUGAUAAUACUUACAAGGAGACAGUGGGAAUUGUUAUCUGAGGAUGUUUGUAGCAUUACCAAGGCAGAAUCCAGCUGAGAAUGGACACUCAGCACAGAGCUUUUUCUUCCUGAGUCAAAGGCUGUCUCUGACGCCAGGGUCUCAGAUGUUCACACUGUGGGUGGUGGUGGCCUUUUCAUGUGGUUAUUCUUC